rnacentral:rRNA from 3 species
CUUUGGGUGUGACUGCGUACCUUUUGUAUAAUGGGUCAGCGACUUAUAUUCUGUAGCAAGGUUAACCGAAUAGGGGAGCCGGAGGGAAACCGAGUCUUAACCGGGCGUUAAGUUGCAGGGUAUAGACCCGAAACCCGGUGAUCUAGCCAUGGGCAGGUUGAAGGUUGGGUAACACUAACUGGAGGACCGAACCGACUAAUGUUGAAAAAUUAGCGGAUGACCUGUGGCUGGGGGUGAAAGGCCAAUCAAACCGGGAGAUAGCUGGUUCUCCCCGAAAGCUAUUUAGGUAGCGCCUCGUGAAUUCAUCUCCGGGGGUAGAGCACUGUUUCGGCUAGGGGGCCAUCCCGGCUUACCAACCCGAUGCAAACUGCGAAUACCGGAGAAUGUUAUCACGGGAGACACACGGCGGGUGCUAACGUCCGUCGUGAAGAGGGAAACAACCCAGACCGCCAGCUAAGGUCCCAAAGUCAUGGUUAAGUGGGAAACGAUGUGGGAAGGCCCAGACAGCCAGGAUGUUGGCUUAGAAGCAGCCAUCAUUUAAAGAAAGCGUAAUAGCUCACUGGUCGAGUCGGCCUGCGCGGAAGAUGUAACGGGGCUAAACCAUG